UGCAGUGAUGUCGUAAUUGGCGUCUUACUGGGUUCUCAGCGACAGUUGCCGAAAAUUCUUACUGAGCA
ensembl:snoRNA SNORD16 Small nucleolar RNA SNORD16